rnacentral:rRNA from 1 species
AGACUGCAUGGCUUAAUCUUUGAGACAAGCAUAUGACUACUGGCAGAAUCAACCAGAUAUCUCACCUGCCGCCGCCCCCGGGGCACCCGGCUGGGGUGCCCGCGGAUCUGGCGUCGGGCGGGCAGCACGGCUGGCCGCGCCCGAGAAGUGAUCAAAUCGAGGUCGGGGCCCAACGCGCGAGGCAUACGGGCCCGCCCGAAUCUCUGCGAGGCGGCGUACCGCUCGAAAGAACCGGGCAUUCGAUUGCCCCCACUGCAGUUUUCCCUCCAUCCUCCGCGCGCAGGCUUUGGCGGCCAAAGACACGUCGUGCCCGGCCCCUGCGGCAUUGGGGGAGCGGAAGGAGGGAAUCGACGCCCGAACACGCCGACGCCGCUAAAGCGUCGGCGGAUAUCGAGGUCGACCUCCCCCCCGGAAGUUAGGGAUGUCAGCGCUGGCCAGCGGCCAACAAUCGACAAGCCCCAUCGAAACCUAUCGUACGAGAACGUUAGGCAUUCGGGCAACCCUCAGCCGAGCCAUGAGGCCGCCGAGGGCCGCAGAACCGCCCCGAACGUCGAAAGCCCAACCCAGGGCU